UUGGAGGGCAAGUCUGGUGCCAGCAGCCGCGGUAAUUCCAGCUCCAAUAGCGUAUAUUAAAGUUGUUGCAGUUAAAAAGCUCGUAGUUGAAUUUCGGGAUUGACACAUCGGUCGUGCCUUAAGGGGUAUGAACUGGUGUAGUCAGUUUCUCACCUUCUGGAGAACCGCGAUGUCCUUAAUUGGGUGCCGCGAGGAACCAGGACCUUUACUUUGAAAAAAUUAGAGUGUUUAAAGCAGGCAUUUUGCUUGAAUACAUUAGCAUGGAAUAAUAAAAUAGGACGGAUGGUUCUAUUUUGUUGGUUUCUAGGAUCACCGUAAUGAUUAAUAGGGAUAGUUGGGGGCAUUAGUAUUCAAUUGUCAGAGGUGAAAUUCUUGGAUUUAUUGAAGACUAACUACUGCGAAAGCAUUUGCCAAGGAUGUUUUCAUUAAUCAAGAACGAAAGUUAGGGGAUCGAAGACGAUCAGAUACCGUCGUAGUCUUAACCAUAAACUAUGCCGACUAGGAAUCAGACGAUGUUAAUUUUUUAAUGACUCGUUUGGCACCUUACGGGAAACCAAAGUGUUUGGGUUC
rnacentral:rRNA from 3 species